AUUAUUUAUUCAUUUAUUUUAUAUAAAAAAAAUGUUUAUCGUUGUUUUUGGGAGUAGGCUUUCAAUCGGUAUCUAUCAAUAUGAGCAAACCUUUUGAUAGGAAAAUAUUCCAGAUUGAGAUUAGUUAUUGAAAUAAAAUUUCGUUACUUAGUUAAGAAUAUAAGUUUGAGUAAUCUUCAACUCUUAAAUUAGUAUUUAAGUAUAAGUUAUUAGUCCAUGAACUUCUAUAUAAUAUUAGAACCAAACUUAGAAUAAUGAUUUUUAACCUUCUUAAUUUAUCUCUUCAUCCCCACUUUUCACUUUAACUCAUUUAUUUUUAAAAUUAUUCUUAUUAAAAAAUAGUUAUUAUUUUUAUUUUACUUUCUUCUCUCUCUUGAUCAUUAUUAGCAUCAUCAUCCCAAGUUUAAUAUCACCAUCAUCAUCAAUCCAUCACUGCAUACAACUUAGAAAUCUAAAGAAUAUUGUCAAUAGGAAAUGGAUACUUACCAAAUUCAGCCGUGCUGAGUUUUUGGAGUUAAUUGUUUCGGUUGCAGAGAUUUAGUACUAGUUUCUUUCUAAUAACUUAAUGGUAGAUUGGGGUUUCUGUCCCCCCAAAAAAAAAAAAAAAGGGAAAAGAAAAAUGGUGGAUUGGAGUUUUAAAGAUCUAUUGGAGAAUUAUGUCUAGUUUAUUUUUUGUUUCAUACCAUUUGGCAUUUGUCAGUUGAAUCGUGUUUCUCAAGUUAAUGUAUCUUUCUUAUGCGGCUUAAAUUGAAAAAAAAAAAUUCUGCUCAAAGCUUGAAAGAGAGAGGGAUAGAAUUUUUAAGUGAGAGAAAAAGAAAAUAUUAAAAUUAUUUUGAUAAAUUAUUUUUUAAUAAGGGUAAUCUUGUAAUUAGGUGGAAUUUAUUAAAAAAUAAGAUUGGUGAAAUAAACUGAAGGGUCAAAUAUCACCACUUUUAAACUCAUUUGAGAAUAGACCCACACUAUCUUUACACGUGAUGGGGUGAUAGGUAAGAAUAAUGAUAUUUAAUCUCUUAAUUUAUCUAAUUUGUUCUCACUUUUUAAUUUAUCCGAUUUGCUUUCAAAAUUGUACUUAUUAAAAAAUAAAAAGAAUAAUUUAAAAUAAAGAAACAUCAAUCUUAAUUUACUCAUUAUUGAAAGUAACAAGAUUUGGUUAUCAUGACAUAAAUCUUGUUAGUUUCUUCAUUGUAUUAAACUAACCAGAAACAUUUGUAAAGCUUCGAGAACAAAUAAUCACGAAAGCAGUAGACCCGUUCAUCCGCGGAUAUGAUCAGAUGUGCUCGGCAUUUGCAAUUUCCUUACUACAGAACUUAUUGGUUCAUCCAUUUUGCAACGACAGCUAUAUGUCGCCUGUAUCAAUCAAUUGGCAAACAACAAUAAGAACUAUAUACGAGAGAGAAAAUAUAAUAAUUAGUUUUUUAUCCUUUAAUCAAACUAAUUUUAAAAAUAAAUGAAUUAAUUGAAAAGUAAGAACUGGAGAGAUAAAUUAAGGGAGUUAAAUAUUAUUACUUCAUAAAUAAAAUAUCUCACAUUCACUAAAAGUAUCAUAAAACUUAACUAACCCUCAACUUUUAUAAUAGUUUUUGGGUAUGAAUUAUAGCUAGUGGCACGACUUAUGUGAUGCCUUGCCCUACUCAAAAUCAUUAUGUGAUGCCUUGGCACUAAAAGGGAUUUUAGUGGUGAACUAAUGAUCAUUCAACAGCUCCACGCAAUAGUACAGCUCAUGUCUUUUUCUUGUCAUGCAUUACCGAUUGUUCUGCCCAAGAAUUUGCUAACUGCCCAUGCUACUAUUUGUUUUUUAGAUGGGCAGUUGUUUCUCGUAGUUAAAGAUUACUUCAAUUGUACUAGCACUAAGAUACAAAAUCUUGGAAAUUAUUCCUCAAUCACUAACAUGUCUGCAUUAAAUUCUUAAUUAAAUGAUUAGCACGCAUGAAUUAUCGUAAAAAUGAUUUGCUUUUCUAUGAUAGAGAAGAGAGGAAGAAGUUUUCAUGAACUUGAUCCAACGUUUUUUAAAUAAUUUUAUUUGAUUGGUUAUUUGAAUUUAAAAUUUAAAAAAUUAAGGUUAAAAAAUUAAUUUUAAUUUUAUCCACCACCUGCUAUUUCUGAACAAAAUAUUAAAAAAAGAAAAGAAAAGUAAAAGAAAUAGUGAGUAAGAAGAAGAAAUAGGAACUUCAAGAAGAUUAAGCAGAGAAUAGCUACGGUUUUGGAAUAAGGUUUUGUAACGUUAAUGUCAUAAAUCAUAAUGUUCACUCGCGUGCAAAUCUCAAAAAGGAGAGUCAGAGAUUCUGAAAAUGGGGCCUGCCAUGUGCUAAGCCAGUUUGAAUUCGACUUUUUGGUCUUAGUUAGAAGACCUCUUAAUUGAUGGGUCGCCAUCUCUCUUGAUCUAACACCUACUUGUUUAUCAUCUUCGGCAUCAUUUGCAAUGGUACUUGUUUAAACUUUUCCCAUCUAGGGCUAUAAUUAACCAACUGCGAUCAUUACAUUUUUAUUUUACAUUUUUUUCCUUCACUUGCUAUAUGUCGAUGACAGUAUAUAUUGUGGGCCCUCCAUGUAAAUACCGAACUCAACUUCUUCACCACAUAAUUUAAAGUAAACAGGAAAAAAUAACAGUAAAUAUAUAUAGUUGGUAAAUGCUAUGUUACAAUUAAUGUAACAUACACACUCAACAACAACCACACAAAUUGUGUAGGCCCAUUAUUUGUGUGGUUGUUGUUGAGUGUGUAUGUUACAUUAAUUGUAACAUAGAGGCUCCCUAUAUAGUUGGGAUCUCGUAUAUUCAAAGGGUCAAGGCUGUUCAUGAAUCGGAUACUGUAGUUUGACUAUUUUUCCUUUUAAAUUCUAGUGGAAUUAGGAGAUUUUUAUUCAAAGAAAAAAGGAAAAACAUCUAAUAUAAGAUAUGCAAUAGGUUUUGUGAAAUACAAAUUAUGCAACUCAAGAGGGGGGGUAAAUUGAGUUUUUAAAAAUUAAGCAAGCAAAUCACACAAUAUUUCAAUCUAAUGCCUUAAAGAAAUCGAAAGCAAUAAAUUCAAUAAAUCACAAAAAUAAAAGGGUAGGGGAAGAGAAAACAAACACAAGGAUUUUUAUGUGGUUUGGCAAUCCUCGCCUACGUCCACGUCUUCAAGCACACUAGGCUUGAGGAUUUUACUAUCCAAGCCUUUCAAGGUUUCAAACGCUUACAAUUGACUUCCAAGGUGUCAAUGGACCUUUACAACAAAAGAUUAUCCUAAUUCUCUUAACCCAAGUGUAUCUCAACACUUACAACCUCUCAAUUUGAUUUUACAAAAAGGAUUACAAAACUUUCUCUCACACAAUGUGUUUGAAUACAAAUGAAAGCCCAAUAUGUGUAAAUAAAUGAAAUGAAUACACAAAGUUUAUGCUUAUAGAUUUGCAGAGAAAAUGCUCAAAAUAUCAAUGGUUGCAUCACUUAAAAUGAGUUUAAUUUAAGCCAAUUUAUAGUUGAAGAAGAAAACUAGCUGUUAUUGACUUUCUGGUGAUAACCGGCUUGCCACUUUUGUGAAUCCAGUUAGCCGCUUUAUGUUACCGUUAUGUUCAAAAAUUUGAAUUUUUGAACAUUCGGUAUGCCGCUUUGUUGAAUCCAGUUAGCCACUUUUAUUCUAGUGAGUUUCUACCCAUAACCGGAUUGCCGCUUUGUAACAUCCGGUUAGCCGCUUUGCUACAGUGCUGGCUACAAUAAACUAUUUUCUAAAAUUAUAGUUUUAGCCCAAAACUUUAUAGAAUUACACUAUGGCCCAAAACGUCAUAAAACUUUUCACAAAGGUCCAAUUUCAGAAUUUCUAUAUAAUGCUUGUUAUUCUCAAAACUUUCUGAAAUUAUGAUAUCAUCCAAAAUGUUAUGAAACUUUUCAAAUAAGUCCUUCUCCAGAAUUCCAAGUAAUAUUUAUCGAUUUCAAAGUUUUCAAAACUCUUUCAAGUAGAUCAUAAACUUGUAAAACAACCAAUUUUAUAAAAUUAUUUUUCCAUUAAAUAUAAAAUCUUUAUAAUGUGAAAAAAAUGAUUUAUUUAAAAUGUAUAAAAAAUAAUUUGAGUUUUUAAAAACUUAAUCAUUCUUAAUUUUAUUUGUUAUCAUCAAAAUCAACAUUAUGGAUACAUAAAUAUUAACAUUUUGUUCUAGUCCAAUUUUAAUUCAACCCAAAACACUAUGAGAGCUUCUCUGCAAUUGUCAAUUCUUCCUUAUGGAGGUAGUUUUCUAGAGAAAAUGAUGAUUGAACUUCUUGGAGAUGAUUGCCUGGGGACAAUGAUAACUGGGGAGGCCUUAAAAUCACAAGAAACUGUUGUUAAAGGCGACGCUGGCAGUGGUCGGUGACAGCACUCUGACGGUCAGGUCAGUAGGAGGUAGGAUGGAGUGGGGGAUUUUAAAGAAAACCUAGAACAAGAAGAAAGUUGAGUGUUUUUCAAGUGAAUGAGUCACUUACUCUUCUGUGAGACUAUCUUGACCUUUCUAUGUAGAGUGCCCCUUAGGGCAUCUUUUUGUGUCACUAUGACAUGUGGCAGGCCUCCAUUAGGGAAUUUCCUCAUCAGGUAGGGUUUUUAGGUAGUUUGGCCUCUUUCAUUAAGCUAUUCAGUGUACUUGAGUUGACAACUGACCAAUUUAAAAGCAACUUAUGUUGGCAGUGUGCCCUUGACGCUAAUUGACUUAUUUUAAAGGGAAAUUAUCAUUCGUAUACCCUAUAUUUGCUCUAUUAUAAAAAAUACUACAACACUUUGAGGGUGUAUCAAUCGUCCAUCUUUAGUUGACAAAAUGUAUCAGCCGACCACUAAAUCGUUAGUUGUCAUUUGAAAGUUAACGGAAUUACAGUGAAUUGACGAUUUUACCCUUGAAAAUUAUCACUUGUAUACCCUUAAAAUUUCUUUUUAUCACUUAUAUACCCUUAAAUUAUCACUUGUGUCAAUUGAAAAUACCAAAUUACCCUUCUAACGUCAUCAUACUUAAACGCCAACUAACAGUUUGGUGGUCAACUGAUACAUUUUGUCAACUUAGGGUGGACGAUUGAUACACCCUUAAAGUAUUGUAGUAUUUUUGAUAAUUGAGUAAACUAAAGAUAUACAAAUGAUAAUUUUCCUAUUUUGAAUGAUCCAAUUAGGUCGAAGAGCACUUGACCUUCUUAGAGAUGAUGUUGGUGGGCUAUCCAUAGUCCCCUUUACCUCUGACUUAGGCAGCUUGCAAGGGGGUAUUUAAGAGGCAGCUUAAGUGGGGACUGUAUUGCCAUGCAGUGGCGCAUGCAUAGUAGGAGGUAUAUUCUGUUAUUCUCUAACAACUCAGGUGUUUGACACUGCCUUCUCGAGAUCUUUUCAUUUCAGCUUCCCCUUUUCAUCUUCCCUUUGUCGACUUUCCUUUCUCAACUUUCAUUUCAUUCUUUACUAUAGUCUGGAGUCACAUUCCCCAUGUGAGAUCUUCCCACUUCUUCGAGGUCUUCCCCUUCAUCCUCCUUUCUCAGCUUCCUUUUUUUCUUUUGUCAUGGUUUUAAAUCAUACUCCCCAUGCAUCAUGCUAUCAAUAACUUUCGUCUAUAUUUUACCACUAAAAAGAUCCCUCUAAUCUUCAUUAGCUAAUAGUGAGGUGAAAGACACUAAAUUUUUACUUGAGCGAUCAUGACAUGUGGGGAAAUCUUCUCAUUGGGGAUAAUUGUUAUGGGGAUAGCUCCUUACAACAUCGAGGCUGAGUAUUUUUUUCCUUUAUCCUGGGCAUCGCACGCUAUCUUUAACAAUGUUCUAACCCUAUUUCUCUUGUGUUUUUUUUUACCAGAGAGUGCUUCUGAGUGGGAGAUGUCCAAGGCGAGAAGAGAUCUUCUGCAAGUCAGUUAGAAAGGAGUUUUUGAUUCUACUAAAGGAGUAACAGGUUCGGUUGGAGGAUCUUCCCCGAGGGAUAUAGAGGCGAUGCCCAGGCGUUGUUCGGAGUGAGCUUUUUUUAAAAGGCUUUUUCAUCUAUUCCUGAGAGCAUCUUGAGGCUUAGCCCUAGCUGCAAAACCAUAUCAACGGCUGACAAGAGGAAAAAGCCAAUUGCUGAUGGUCUUCUUCCUUAUCCUCACGCAAACUACAUUAAUAAAGUCUAAGUUUUUGCAUUUUGCUAAGAAGGCCUCGCAGCAUCAACCGUUAGAGGAAGCUACAGAGAGCUCUCUUUAGGGUGGCCCCAAUUUGCUCUUUCCAUGACUUUGGCUAGCUGACAUCUCAUACAAUCCCCUUUUUUUCUCAUCCUCAUUUUUUGGUCAUGUAUAGACUGUUAUGCUUCAUGCCCAUGUCUCCAGUAAGAUGUUGGAGUAGAACUCUAGCUGAUAAUAAAGGUGAUCAAGUCCACAAGGAGAGGUUCUAGAUAGAGGUCCUACGGGGGAGCAACUCCUUCAAGAAGCUGCUGGGUUCUGUCAAUGGUGAAGCAAAAAGAGCCAAUAAAAAGCUAAAGAGGAGGUGCUCAAUUUGGAGCACAGGCUCAAUGUCUAGUAUUUAGCUGUUUUUACCCCAUUGGGGCCUCCAUAUUCCUCAACACUUUUUAAUUUUCCUAAAUUAAAAGGGGGAAUCUUCCUUAGGUUCUUUAAAGGAGGGUCUUAUAGGUACCGACCCUCCUCACUGUUCAAGUUCAACUCUAGCUAAUCAGCUUGGCAUGGAGAUACAGGCUUAGGGACUUUGCUACAGGCAAUAGUUUUGGCGAUGGGGGCAUGAGAUAGAAUAAAAGAGCCAUUUUUAGUAUGAUUCUGUAAUUUAUCGUUGCAUCUAGGAGAGUUUGCAUUAUUUACCAUGCUUGAGGAACUUGCAUCAUGUCCCGCGCUUGGGGCAUCAUUGCAUCACUUAAGGAGUUUGCAUUAUGUGCCGCACUCAGGGCAUCUAUUUUAUGUGCUGCGCCUGGGCCAUGUAUUAUUUGCCUCACCAGGCAGAACAUUUAUAUUUACUACACCUGUUGGGUGUUUGCCAUGCCUGGGGCUCUUUGACAUCCCUGGGGCAUAUGUGUUUCGGUGUGCUGGGCAGAGCAUUUAUCUUUGCACGCUCUUUUAGAUUUGUCAUGCCUGGGACUCGCUUAGGGCAUUUACAUCACCGUUACAUUGGAUGAUCCUCAGCAUGCACAGUGUCCGGAGAGAUACUCCUUCUGCGGGGAGUGCGGGAUCCCUUGCAUAUAUGGGGUGUUCCCAUCAUGUGCAGGCUCUGACAUGACUUAAAAGUGAUUUCUAACUCCUAAGUAUAAGAGUGUCUUGUUAUAUUAUAACUCGGUGAGUCCGAGGUCGAUCCUCAGAGAAAGGAUUUAAAUUGUUUAUUUAAGUUUAUAAAAAAAAAUAUGCAAUUUAGUUUAAGAAAAACUAUGAAAUUGAAUUAGUUGAGAUUAUGA
rnacentral:lncRNA from 1 species